GACUAGUUCCUGGGCUGUGCACUGGGAUGCCAAGCUCGUGAAGCCCUCAAUGUCAGCAAACAGGAUACUGCAAGGACAUAAAAAAAGGUGCUGCCUGGCUUGGAUGUAGCCCCUUGUUUCUUGGAAUGCUUGUCUCUGGGACACCUCUGCUGGGUAAUGGGUGCAAAUGCCAAUGAUGUUUGUGCAGAGGAAGAUCAGCACGUUGGCGCUUAGCUGGAAAAAAGGAUACAACAAAUGUCUUGUAUUGCAUUGCGAAAACCGUCGACAACACCAAUAUGGUUAAAGAAACUGAAACAAG